UUUCUGCUUCAGCCAGCCUAGGAGACACAGGACCUGCUGGCUGCAGAGGUAAAAGCUGGACCUAGGAUGGAGCAGGAUCUGAGGAGCAUCCCGGCCUCGAAGCUUGAUAAGUUCAUAGAGAACCAUCUCCCGGACACCAGCUUCUGUGCUGACCUCAGAGAAGUCAUAGAUGCCCUGUGUGCUCUCCUGAAGGACAGAUCCUUCCGGGGCCCCGUCCGCCGAAUGAGGGCCUCUAAAGGGGUCAAGGGCAAAGGCACCGCGCUCAAGGGCAGGUCAGACGCUGACCUGGUGGUGUUCCUUAACAAUCUCACCAGCUUUGAGGAUCAGUUAAACCAACAGGGAGUGUUGAUUAAGGAAAUUAAGAAACAGCUGUGCGAGGUUCAGCAUGAGAGACGUUGUGGAGUGAAGUUUGAGGUCCACAGUUUAAGGAGUCCCAACUCCCGGGCUCUGAGCUUCAAGCUGAGCGCCCCCGACCUGCUGAAGGAGGUGAAGUUUGAUGUGCUGCCAGCCUAUGAUUUACUGGAUCAUCUUAACAUCCUCAAGAAGCCUAACCAACAAUUCUACGCCAAUCUCAUCAGUGGGCGUACCCCGCCGGGGAAGGAGGGCAAGUUAUCGAUCUGCUUUAUGGGGCUUCAGAAGUACUUCCUGAACUGUCGCCCAACCAAGCUGAAGCGCCUCAUCCGCCUGGUCACGCACUGGUACCAACUGUGUAAGGAGAAGCUGGGGGACCCGCUGCCCCCACAGUAUGCCCUGGAGCUGCUCACAGUCUAUGCCUGGGAGUAUGGGAGUCGAGUAACUAAAUUCAACACAGCCCAGGGCUUCUGAACCGUCUUGGAACUGGUCACCAAGUACAAACAGCUUCAAAUCUACUGGACAGUGUAUUAUGACUUUCGACAUCAAGAGGUCUCUGAAUACCUGCACCAACAGCUCAAAAAAGACAGGCCUGUGAUCUUGGACCCCACUGACCCAACAAGGAACAUAGCCGGUUUGAACCCAAAGGACUGGAGGCGUCUAGCAGGAGAGGCUGCCGCCUGGCUGCAAUACCCAUGCUUUAAGUACAGGGACGGUUCCUCAGUGUGCUCCUGGGAGGUGCCGACGGAGGUUGCAGUGCCAACGAAGUAUCUCUUUUGUCGUAUUUUCUGGUUAUUGUUUUGGUCUUUGUUUCAUUUCAUCUUUGGGAAGACUUCAUCUGGAUAGCCCAGAGUGUCUUGGAUAUUGCCAUCCUCCUGCCUUAGCGCUGGCAUGACUGCAGCGUAGGCCUGUUAUGCCCUGCCUCCCUUCCAUCCUCAAGUGGACAAGAACUGGGCAUGUGUUUUCCUGUGAGCCCAGUGGGACCUGUCCAGGAUGCUCCAGAGUCAGACGCAUGUCCUGCUCUGCUGCAGGGCCUUGACCCAGAGAAGACAGGAAGGUGCCCAAAGCCCAAGAGAGGGAGGGUCCAACCUGUGAUCAGACUCCAGGCUUCUGUCCCCUGCCCUCAACCCCUGCACAGACAGCCUUUCUCACAGCCUGCUUUAUCUGCCUUGUCCCCCAACAGUGUUCUCUGGGAGACAAGAGAUUCAGAAGGAGAAUAUUAUGGUUUGUAUAUGGUUGGCCCAGGGAAUGGCACUGUUAGGAGGUGUGGCCAUGUUGGAGUGGGUGUGGCCUUGUGGGUGUGGGCUUUCUCUUGUCUUAGCUGCCUGGAAGUCAGUAUUCUGCUAGCAGCCUUCAGAUGAAGAUGUAGAACUCUCAGCUCCUCCUGCACCAUGCCUGCCUGGACGUUGCCAUGCUCUUGCCUUGGUUAUAAUGGACUGAACGUCUGAACCUGUAAGCCAACCCCAAUUAAAUGUUGUUUUUAUAAAAA